GCCGGGGUGAGCGCAUUGAAGUGGCUGUCAUAAAUCACAUGAUCCACAGAAACAUGAAAUGGCCAAUGCUGAGGGAUGGCCUUACCCCUUGAUCAUGACUCUCAGUUCUACUACAUUGCACGUAAGAGUCAUUGGACGAAGGCGUCUUCUGAUCCCCGAUGCUCAAAGCGGUACGGUAUUGGAAGCAUAAGGACCUUAUCUUUCAUAUCAGCGAGAAAUCAUUUUCAAAAAACAAAAGAUGAAAUUGAUACAUACCUUGGUAGGGUUAGGGUUCCCACAUGGUCAUAUUUCCACGUUACAGCGCUUAUUUACAUAAAACUGACAGAAGACAAGAUGCUAACCUGUGCUAAUUAGCCACUCCGCAUGCUCAGAACACAUUUGCGUAAAAGCGUAACUCGGGAAGUGUACUUUCGUUAGAUGGAGGCGCUCAUUGCUGUGUGUAUCUGAGAAAAACUGCUACAGUAAGUGUCUCUUUUUAAUUUGUAGGAUUCUUUCUCGCUGAUGAAAGGUAAGGGCCAUAUAUUUCGAAAGUCGUAUCGCAAGCGAUGAUUCUACACGUUAAAACAGCGGUGGGAUUGUAGUUCAUAUGAGGCAGUCAUGGGCGAAGCUAAUGGCUUGAGAAAUGUAUGGAGAAGGCCACCUAGAGUUUUCGAGAACUAGGAUGGCCUGUGCUGGUCUGUACACCUUUUAGUGUUCAUCGUUUAUCAUUGUUAAAUCUAAUGUUUAUCGAUUCCAUAUUAUUAUUUUAUGAAACUGUGAGUCUACUAUAAAGUUUCGAGAUGCAUCAUCGCUCGAUUAUCAAUGUGCCUUUUUUGGCAUGUACUCUAAUUCCAAUAUUUUAUCAAUUUUAUUAUGUGCCAACAUUUUUAUUCACAUUGACAACAACGGAUUUGAUGUUCUUACAUGAAGACUGAUUCAUUAUCAUCAAUGAAGCUUCAUCAAGAAGGCCACAAUACCUAACUUUUUACUUAUACUUUUGCUUAUAAUUGCCAAACUCAACAAGUUGAUCUAAAUCUUAAAAUUAUUUUAAACAUUUGUGAUCAUGUUGCAACAAGUGUUUAUUUCUUAAAUUGAAAAUAACCUACUUCUUAUAGGUUAUAGGAUUAGUUUCAGUAGGUUGUCCCACCAUCUAAAGUUAGGCCUACCUAACGAAAAACAUUAUAAAAAAACCUGACAAUCGGAAGUUGUAGGCUACAGGUGACAAAUAACAUUCUAUCAUUUACACAUAAAGUUGGCCAGAAGAUGUUCAAGUGAGUGAUAACAGGAAACCAUAACAAUGUCGCCACCUUGUGAUUAAAUCUAUUCAAUCAUUGGAUACCCAUUAGCCAAUCCAUAGACAUAAAUUUGAACCAUUUGGACCCAGAGAAUAAGAUACAUCUAUGACUGGAUUGUAGGAAUACAAUUAUUAAAGUGGUAGCCUGAAGUGCAGUAGCGGAUUUAGGUAUAGGCGACAUGGGCAGCCGCCCAAGGCGGCAUCUUGCCGGGGGCAGCACGGGCGCCCACACAAACAAAUGUGGAAUGGUGACAGUUUUCUAUCGCUCAUUUGCACGUCACGUCAAUGAUAUAAUGUCACCGUGUGGGACUGUGGGUCAAUUAACCUUGUCGGAGUGGGAACCCUGAUUCUAGUUUGUGAGCUAGGCAGGCUACUUGAUAUUUAUUAGUCUUUAUUUCGUAUAUAUUUUUAUAUAGUUUUAAAUGUAAUGAUUAUUUAUUUGUGUUGUUCCAGAUGUCUGAAUAAAAAUUACAAUUAGUGCGGGGGGGGUUCGCCCAGGGAGCCAUACAAGCUACAACUGCCUAUUGCUCAUAUGAUAACGCAAGAGGGCUGAUUUGGCAUCAGUAAAUCCGCGCUCAAAGCCAUUCAACCAAUGAGAUGCUUGCAAGAAAUACUCAUCAAUCAGAAGGCUUGUGAUCUUUGUUCUUCCACUGUGAUCAUCAAAACACGGAAAUGUUGAGACAGACCAUGUAAUAGGGUCGUCACUAGUUACUACAGCCACAAAGUCAUACACCCUCCCAUUUGUACAAUGUAUCGUCUUAAAAGUUUAUUUUAAACCUAACCACACUGCUAACCAAAUGCCUAAUCUUACAUUUUAGUUUUCAUAAAUGUUUACAAUAUAUACCAUUUAGACUUUGUGGCUUUGGUAACUAGUGGAAACCAUUUCGCUUGGUCUCUGCUUCAUCAAACAGAGGACCACUUGGUUGUUGUAAAACGCACACCGUUUUAUGAGAAUGCAAUGUAACAAAGCUGUAUUAAUCAGCAAAGUAAAUAUAUUUUGCUAAUCAAUCUUUAAACAUGUCUCUCUGGGGUUUAUGAUGUUGUGGCUGUGGUAACUAGUGAUGACCGUGACAUAGUUAGUUGGCCUACUCACCAAACUACUCAAAGGUUAGGAAUAGAUUUCCUGCUCGACAUGUCUAUAUCACCGUUUAUCCCAACACGAGUGGCGUGUGCGACAUCCCAGUACUAUGCAAAUGCAGAUGGAGUAUUUGGCUGUUUUGGUUUCCAGAGCCAAUUCGCCUUUAAACAGAACAUUAAACAGGUCCUUGGACUAUGGGACACAGCCAAUCUGCAGCCCGGACCACUGCAGUGGGAUCCCAGCUGUGGCGGCCAGUCGCUCUGCACCCUCCAGGGUCAUGAAGGGGCCAUCUACAGCACACUGUGGUCUCCGCAUCGAAUACAGUUACACUUCACUUGGUCAUUAAUGCUUCAGAUAUUAAAUGAGUUAAAGUAGCAUUUAAAUUCUCUAGCUUGAUCAGGUAAAGAUGAAUUGUAAUGCCUCGUCAUCACCUCAUGGUGUCACUAAAGCUCUAGUUCUGAUACACAGGUCAUUGCGCUCUGCCUCGGAAGCGUAGUGUACAGUUUCUGCUAAUCAGUAGACAUGUAGCCUUUCAUAGUAAGUAUUUUCAUAUUGUUCGAUUAUGAAUUAUAGUGUAGAGAAUAUAGUAACUUAUGCUUCUAAAAAGUUUAAGGCCUAAACUCAUUAAACAGAGUUAGGGAAAUCUGCUUUUAGUUUAUUUUCACCCAAUGUAUGGAAAAAUCUACAGAGUUCCCUACCACUAGAUGUACUGGUGCCUCUCAGGUAGUUAAAAUUGUUGAUUGGGGACCACUUUUCAGAGGAAUGUGAUUGUUUCUCUUGAUUGUGUUUUGUCAUUUUGUUAAUUUGUAUUAUGUUUUGUGAAUUGUGUAUAUUCAGGGCUCCCUUGUAGAAGAGACCUUAUUCUCAAUGGGACUGAAAUAAAAAGGACUUACCUGCAUUUAUUGUGAGUGCUUAUCUCAAUCAGUUAUCUGGAACAUGUGAC
rnacentral:lncRNA from 1 species